UAGGUAAUUUAUAUUAAAAAGUUUAUUUAGCUCAUAGUUCUAGAGGCUGGAAGUCCACAGUGCCGGCAUCUGUGAGGGCCUUCUUGCUGCCUCACCUCAUGGCAGAGGGCAUCACAUGCUCAGAGUGGGAGCAAGGGAGCCAGGGAGAGCUCACAGGCACAAGAAUAACGCUGCUGUGAUAAUAAACCCACUCCUGGGACAGCAACAUUCAUCCCGUCAUGAGAACAGAGCCCUCAUUCAUCCAUUCAUCUCAUCAUAGGGGCAGAAGGAUUACAUUUCUAACACAUGAACUUUUGGGGGACACAUUCAAUACCUAGCACUCCCAAAAUAUUCACUAAGAGUGAGAGUAAAUUGAUUUAAUUUCAGACUGUUCUUGGCAGUCCAUAAGUAGAGAUUUCCAAGUUUUACAAUAGAGAAUUAAAAUGAUUGAAAAAUAUUCUAAAAAAAAAAAAACAACCUGCAGAAGAAAGCUAGAAAAUCAGAAGAUGAAAUAUUUUUUAGGCAUAAAAUAUGCAUGCAGUUUAUAGACAAUGGAGAUGUGCUAACUCUUGAAAACGUGCUUCGACAUCUCAAAUUGCUUAAGGCUUUUGCAACAAAAUAACUUACCAGUGUCAGGCCAUGGUAGAAUAUGAGUUCACAAUGAAUUUUUAUGCCUGGGUUUCUGUGACCCAAGUUAUGCUGAAGAAUAUGAGAGACACCACCUUUUAAAAAUUUUUACAUAGCCUGCGGCCACUGCAAUUCGUUAAUCCCUUUGGAAAAUUGCUUAAGCCUGGCAUGUUUUGUAAUGAACUUUAUCUCUUCACUACCAAAAGUCGUAAAAAGGAACUUCAGUGAGGAAAGAAACACAAUUGAUAAUUGAAUAUUUCAAAGAGAUCAGCAUUUUAGAAAACUGGGCUGCCUCCUGGGUUCAAGCAAUUCUCCUGCCUCAGCCUCCCGAGUAGCUGGGAUUACAGGUUUUUGGAUUGGCUCACAGUUUUCCUACUUUUCUGUCCUGUCAGUUGAGAAGAAUACAUUUCAAGAGAUGCUCUUGGAAAACACGUUUGAUGGAGAGGUUGAUUUUUGUAACCUGUAUGCCGUAGUCAGGAGAGCCGUCCUCUGGCAGAUAUGUGAAAGAACUGCCUAUGAGGAGCGAGAGGCUACUUCGCACACCUCGCAGCUCAGGUCCCCGGAGACGGCUUUACAGGCACACAAGCCCCUCUCCCAAGCCAUCUGCCAGGAGCCCCAUGAGGAACACAGCACAGCGCCUGCAUCAGAAGCCCAUGGGUUUGCCUAUCACAUGUCUUGUUUUCUCCUGAUCCGUGGCUCACAGGCUCAGUGUGACCCAACCUCCUAGAUUUCCCCAUCAGUGCUAUUUGCAGUGCCCCCAAGCACUUUCCUCCACUCCAGUCCCUGAGCGCAUGCCAACGGCCCUAUUUUCAGCCACCCCUCUCCAUGCCUCUUGUCUGUCUCUAGCUGACAAGCAGAUUAUCUCUUCUGUCCACUUUGUUUGCCAAUGUACUUUGGCACCAUUGAAUUCCAACACAUGAAGUAAACUGAACUGUGUACAACGCUGAGCACACACGUGGUUUGGAGAGCAGCCCCUUGUCAGGAUCCAAAAUGUUCCCAAGCCUUGUUGAUAUUUGGGUCACUGCAGAUCUCUGAGUCCCCCUUCCUUUUUAAUCUUCUUCCCCUCAACUCAUUCUCAAUUUCUCUCUCUGAAACCACCUGUGAACACACUUAUGCAUUCAAAUAGAUGCAUACUGUUCAUGCUUAUAUUUUUCUGUAACCGUCAUAUCUAAUAAAUACUUAUCAUCCAGGAAAAAAAU
rnacentral:lncRNA from 1 species